rnacentral:lncRNA from 1 species
GACUCUGUCACAGCCCGCGACCACCCGCCUAUUUGGCCGAGGUCGCGGCGCCGACAGUGCCGAACGGACAGGGUUUCCCCUGUACUACGGACAGAGUCUCCCCUGUACGUUCAAGGCAACGCAAUCAAUACAAUACGAGGGUUCCAACCAGGAACUGAUAUCAAUCAAGAUUGCAUAAUGGAAGGUAUCAAACAACAUAAACACAUCCUAAGUUAUUACAUUCAUUCACAUUCACGCAUUUUACAUCUCAAUUCUCAAUUGCUUUAACUUCCAAAUACAAUCUAAGUAGUACAUCGUUUACUUAUUACAAUUUGAUACAUUCGCUUUCUUUUCAUUUCCUUUACCCCUAAGCUUUGUAGACGGGUACUGCUAGCUCUGGUCUCCGGGGUAGGGCGCUAUCUACGGAGCUACGCCCUUUCCUCACGCCGCCGCGCUGCUCACGUACGAACCUGUAAAACCCCAAAACAACGUGGGGUGAGAACCAACUCCAUGGUUCCUAGUGGGUACGGCCACCCAAGGGAAAAGCUCGACCGACAGGUUCAAAGGAGGCAACUGCAGGUUAGUUUAAUAAACAGAUAGAUAGAUAUUUUGACUAUGCAAUUAAUAGAACCAUACCUUGCCUCGCAAUUGUAACAAUGCUAUGCAAUAUGCAAUACCUGUAAAUCAUGCAAGUAGAUUACUUGAUCUACUUUAUAUCAUUAACCAUACUUUACUUGUAGCCGUUCUUUUCUUUAUUAGCUAUUCACGUUCGUUAGUUAUUCUUUAUUCUUUACUCUUUGUCUUAUUGUGCUCACUGGCGAUUCUUUCCUAAGGUUAUUUUACCUUAGCCAUCUAUGCCACUCGACUCGGUCUCGAGUCAAUCAACUGCGGAUAGUCCGCACUCUGUCCGGCUCAAGGUGAAGGACCUCUCACUUACACCUCAGCCUUCAGUCUACAAACAUCUCCCCAACGGGUCGCCCAGAGCUGCGUACACCCGUGGUUAGGGAUCUUUCCGGUGGGAAGGGGAUUAUACCACAAACUCAACCCGCGGCCUAAGACCCCCGAUAGGGAAGGGGACAUGCCACACUCAACCCUAGCAAAGCACGAUUCUGCCGACGGGAGGGGGAACCUGCCACACUCGACCCGCGGCCUCGAAUCAGCCUCAAGCUCAUCCUCGAAGUUCGUCCAGUGGGAGGGGACCCUGUCACACUCAACCCACUGCUCUAGAACUGUCGAGUUCACAAUCCUAAGAUUCCGGAAUCUAUUUCCCAAGCCUCUAGGGUAAUCUCAAACCCUAUGAUAUCGACCUAUCUAGGUCCAAUGCACUUUCCAUCCUAGGUCUACCCGACUCUAGGUUUAACGCCCUUAUAACAUAACCAAUGUUCUUUAAACUAGGUUAAUACCUCUCUACCUAGGUUUUUAUUAACCCUAGGUUCAACAACACUAGAAUCAAUGUCAACCUAUGUUCAUGACGCUAGGUUAAUGCCACUCGAUCUAGCCUAGGUUCACGACACUAGGUUCAACAUCAAUCUUAUUCAUCCUAGGUUCUUGACCCUAGGUUCAUAUUCGACCUAUGUUAAUUACACUAGGUUCGGCGCCACUCGAUCUAGUUGGCCCUACUUGUCCACAUCGAGUUUCUAUAAUCAUAUAUACUCUAGCAUGCAUUCUAUGAUGCCGACAUGCAUCUACAUUUAACAUAGCCUACAUUAUCAUCGUGCAUGUUAUACAUGUAUAGCUUUUCUCAUCAUGUUAAUAAGCAUUAUCCUCUCGCAUGCAUUUUCAUAAGGUCAAUAUGCUCUUGUCAUCUAACUUGUAUUCACAUGAUGCACUUAUGCAUUUUAUCCAACCGCACUUACAUGCUCUAUUAUGAGUUGACAUGAACUAGCACUUGCAUAUAAUUCCAACGCAUCAACAUGCCAUUAGCAACUAGCAUAAUUACUAUCAUUUAGUACAUGCAUCUUAACUAACAUGCUCACAUAAUGUUACAUGCACCUAGCAUACAUUCCAAUGCACAAAUAUAUCGCUUGUAUCUAGUUACUAGCAUAUACUUCCCAAUGCAUUAUUAUGCAAUCAUCACUAAACAUUACCCAACAUGAUCUCAUAACUCAUAAGGUUAACAAUAGGUUAACAUUCAUUUAUAUGCUCAUGUUCUCUAAUACAUGUCAACAUGAAUCUCAUAAUGCUAAAUGCCCCAAGCAUGUAUUUCACUAAGCAUACAUACUAAUAUGCAAAUUACCAACUAGCAUGCAUUUAUACAAUGCAAAUAUGCCCGUAUGCACAUACAUAUAUGCAUCAACCAAAAAUCCAUAUUUCGCUUUGACAUGUGGGGCGACCAAGUCGCUUCGGUAAGCACAACCCACCUUA